rnacentral:lncRNA from 1 species
AGGAGCAGCGAGUGCAGGUCUGCACGUGCAGCAGGGCACGGGCUGAGCCCUGCAACUCCUGCCCCGCUCUCGGGGCACCCCCGGAUCCGCCGUCCCCUGCUCUCGCCCCGUGCCCCCCCACCAGCCCCCUUGGGACACGUCCCCAAGUCAGCCGCUGGGCACCGCAGUGGCUGAACGCCGGUGGGCUGGCGGGGUCCGGGGGCGAUGGGAGCUGCUCACACGUGUCUGAACAAGGUCCCCUGCCCGGGCAGAGUUAAUGGAUGUGCAGGAGCUGGGCCAAAAGGAGACGCAGGGCUCCGUGCUGACGCAGAGGCUCGCUCCCCAGAGCCAGCGGCAGCGAGGGAGAGGGGCAGCGGCAGCCCGACACCUCGGCACGGUACCAGCCGGAGCAGGGACUCUGCCUCCUGCCAGCACCUCUCCGGGGGGGCAGGGAGGAAGGUGCAUCCCCCCAUGGCAGCCGGCUCCCCCACGUAACGCCAGCCAAACUGGACACCGCGGUCCCGCAAGAGACCCCCCCCGGCCAGCGCCCCCCCGCCCGCUGCCUCUCACCUGGCCCAGCCUCGCCGCUCGCUGCCCUGCCCCACGCUGACCCCGUGCCCCGUCGCGAUGUCGCCACCAUCACCGACCUGUGCAGCGGCGGCGAUGUCCCCGAGGUGGAGAUCAUCAGCCUGCUGGGCGAGCAGCUGCCCCGCUACAAGCUGCGGGCGGACACCGUCUUCGGCUAUGACCACGACGACUGGCUGCGAGCCCCCCCUGCCCCCCCGGAGCCCGCAGCCCCCCUCACCCCCCAGCAGAUCUCGGAGACCCUGCAAUAUUUCCGUGAGUGCCCCUGUCCCGCGCCGUGGGGCUGGGCGAGGGCAGUGGGGCGCAGGUGAUGGGGUUCGGGCCGGGUGGGGGCUGUGGGGGCUGUGGGGGAGUUAAUCGCUGCUAACGGGAUUGCCGGCGUGGAUUUCCUCACCCAGAACAUCCUGGGCUAAUUCUGGGAGCAGCUUCUGCUGAGCCGAGCCGGACGCUCGCGGAGAGCCUCCGACAGCCCCCAGGGACCCCGGUGUGUCCCCCUUUCCCGUGCCCUGCAUCUCUCUGGGGUGGCCACCCGUGAGGGGUGUUCUGGUGGCCCCAAGUGCUGCUGUGCCCCCAAAAACAGCCUGGAGUGGCCGAGGGAGUGUGGGGCUGCUCCUGCCAGCAAAGCCCUGUGGGGUACGGGCACCUGGGGGGAGACCCCCGCAGCCCCCUGGCUGGGGAGGGGGCGAUUCCCAACCAGGGAGCUGCGAGGCCCCUUCCCAGCACGGGGUCAGGGUCUGGUGGGCACACCUGGCUCCCUCUGCCCAUAUACGAGGGGCUGGGCUGGGGGCCACCCCCUGCUUGUGGCUGACCCCAGGGUGUUCCUGCCCCCCCAGACCCCUAGCCAUGCAGUGUCUGGCACAGGAGGACCCCGUGUGUCGCCGUCCGUCCCCUCUCCGUGUCACCUCCCUCUCCGUGUCACGUUUCCCCGUGCCUUGGCACCUGGGUGACGUUUGUGCCUUAGCAGUGUGUCAGGGGCCCGUGCUCCCCCAUCCCUUCCCCCCAAAACCCUUAAGCUGCCAUCAGAAAUAGCCCCCUGUAAUCUGCUUGCGCAGAGGCGCGG